rnacentral:rRNA from 1 species
AGAGUUUGAUCAUGGCUCAGAACGAACGCUGGCGGCGCGCCUAAUACAUGCAAGUCGAGCGAGAAGGUGUAGCAAUACACUUGUAAAGCGGCGAACGGGUGAGGAAUACAUGGGUAAUCUACCAUCGAGUGGGGAAUAACCAACCGAAAGGUUGGCUAAUACCGCGUACGCCUCCGAGUCUUCGGGUUCGGAGGGAAAGCUGCACUGUGAGUGUAGCGCUCUUUGAUGAGCUCAUGUCCUAUCAGCUUGUUGGUAGGGUAACGGCCUACCAAGGCUUUGACGGGUAGCUGGUCUGAGAGGACGAUCAGCCACACUGGCACUGCGACACGGGCCAGACUCCUACGGGAGGCAGCAGUAAGGAAUAUUGCGCAAUGGGCGAAAGCCUGACGCAGCGACGCCGCGUGGGGGAUGAAGGUCUUCGGAUUGUAAACCCCUUUCGGGAGGGAAGAUGGAGCGAGCAAUCGUUCGGACGGUACCUCCAGAAGCAGCCACGGCCAACUUCGUGCCAGCAGCCGCGGUAAUACGAAGGUGGCAAGCGUUGUUCGGAUUCACUGGGCGUACAGGGUGUGUAGGCGGUCUGGUAAGCCUUCUGUUAAAGCUUCGGGCCCAACCCGGAAAGCGCAGAGGGUACUGCCAGGCUAGAGGGUGGGAGAGGAGCGCGGAAUUCCCGGUGUAGCGGUGAAAUGCGUAGAGAUCGGGAGGAGGGCCGGUGGCGAAGGCGGCGCUCUGGAACAUACCUGACGCUGAGACACGAAAGCGUGGGGAGCAAGCAGGAUUAGAUACCCUGGUAGUCCACGCCC